rnacentral:rRNA from 1 species
AUGCUGAGAGCUUGUUCGCUAGAUUACGGAUCUAGUUGGGACGACAAUUUGCCAUAUGCAGAGUUCUCUUACAACAACAGUUACCAAACCAGUUUGAAAAUGGCCCCUUUCGAAGCCUUGUAUGGAAGGAGGUGCAGGACACUGUUAUCGUGGGAUAAAGUUGGAGAUCGCCAGUUUUUUGGAGCUAACUUGAUUAAAGAGUCUGAACAGAAGGUGAAAUUGAUUCGCGAUAGGCUCAAGGUAGCUCAGUCCAGACAGAAGAGUUAUGCAGAUUCUAAACGCAAGGAGACAGUUUACGAAGUCGGAGACCGAGUUUAUCUUCGAGUAUCUCCACUUCGGGGAACAAAGCGUUUUGGGGUUAAAGGAAAGUUAGUGCCACAAUUUGUAGGACCAUAUCGAGUUUUGGAGCGUAUUGGAGAAGUGGCCUACAAGUUGGAAUUGCCCGAAGGAUUGUCAGGAGUUCAUAAUGUGUUCCACGUUUCUCGGUUGAAGAAGUGCCACGUAGAGAUGGCUGACAUACCCUUGAGAGACACAGUGCCAUUGGAAAAAUUUCAGUUGGAUAACGAUUUGACCUAUGAGGAGAAACCAGUUAAGAUUCUCGAGUUUGCCAGCCGAAUCACUCGCAGCAAGGUUAUCAAGUUUUGCAAGGUUCAGUGGAGCCACCACACAGAGGAUGAAGCCACCUGGGAGCGAGAGGACGAUUUGCUCAAGGACCACCCUCACCUAUUUUCUAGCCAACCCGGAUCUCGAGGGCGAGAUUCAUCUUAA